AGGACAAACGCUGGCGGCGUGCCUAAGACAUGCAAGUCGGACGGGAGGCUUCGGCCUCUAGUGGCGGACGGGUGAGGAGCGCGUGGAGAACCUGCCCCGGGGUGGGGGAUACCCGCCAGAAAUGGCGGUUAAGACCGCAUACGAAUGCACCGUGCAGGCGGUGUAGGGAAAGCAGUGAUGUGCCCUGGGAGGGCUCCGCGUCGGAUUAGCUGGUUGGUGGGGUAACGGCCUACCAAGGCGACGAUCCGUAGCUGGUCUGAGAGGACGGCCAGCCACACUGGGACUGAGACACGGCCCAGACUCCUACGGGAGGCAGCAGUUAGGGAAUUUUGACAAUGGGCGCAAGCCUGAUCGAGUGACGCCGCGUGCGGGAUGACGCCUUUCGGGGUGUAAACCGCUUUUCCCAGGGACGAGGAGGGACGGUACCUGGGGAAGAAGUCUCGGCUAACUACGCGCCAGCAGCCGC
rnacentral:rRNA from 1 species